GUCCGUUAGCGCAAUGGAUCGCGCGUUGGACUUCUAAUCAAAAUGUCGUGUUUUCGAAUCACACUUGGGAUG